ensembl:lncRNA
CGCUGUCCGGCCCCGGGCACAUGGAAAGGCGCGGGGCUGAUGAGAGGCUCCCUGGGCAGCCACGGGGCUGGAGGGCUGGGAGAGUUUGUGAGGUGGAGGAAGAAGGAUGCUGAGGUGGCCCUGAUCCCAGCUCCUCAUUUAAGUGUGACAGCUACGUGGGUUUGUCUUCACGGAAGCCCUCCCAGGAACUUGAGCCAGAUACUAAAAAGCCUCGGGAGCCUGUACCUGGAGGAACACUGAUGACCAGGAUACAUAUUCCAUUUGCUACCAUCACAGAGCUGUGUUCUAAAGGGGGAAGACAGAGAAAACCAAAUGCACGAGACAAAUGGUAAUUGUGACUGCAAUACAGGCCAAGAGGGGAACCAAUCACAGGGCCAAGAAAGAAAAUGCAAGAGAACACAUGCCUGUCCAUGUGAAUACACAAAUAUGUGUGUGUACAUAUACAUAUUUAUGUGACUUUUAAAACUUGAGACAAAACCGGACAGAAACAGUGACAGCUGUGCAUGGUGUGCAGAGAAGGGUGCGCCAGGUUACUUCUGAAACAUCCAGGUUGAUGAAGCUAAUUUAUUGUUUUGGCAAGGGCUUACUGUUCCUGACAAUCCUCCAUAUGAUAAGGGGGCCUUUAGAAUCGAAAUCAACUUUCCAGCAGAGUACCCAUUCAUACCACUGAAGAUCACCUUUAAAACGAAGUUCUGUCACCCAAACACUAAUGAAGAAGGGCAAGUUUGCCUGCUGGUAAUUAGUGCUGAGUACUCAGAGCCAGCAACCAAGACCGACCAGGAAAUCCAGUCCCUCACAGCACCCCCAGCCCCAGCACCCACUCCGGGCUGACCAGCUGGAGAAUACUCAGUUCUGUAAGAAUGCUGAAGAGUUUACAGAGAAAUAUGGGGAAAAGCAACCUGUGGACUGAAAUGUGCCACAAAUGAUUCCAGCAAGUGUGAGCAGGGACCGAGCAGUGCACUCAGACACCUGAAAAGCAGGACAUGUGCUGUUCACUUUUGCAGUUACUAGCUUUCUACAGUUUUCUUAAUCAAAGUGGCCUGGCAACCUGUGAAGAAAGGAUCAAAACUUUCAGAUAUUCUAGUUCCGCUUUCUUUGUUUUAAAAAUCACUGCUUCAAUCCACUUCAAAAACAUGGUGUUUCUUGUCCAAUUUACC